AGAGUUUGAUCAUGGCUCAGGAUGAACGCUAGCUACAGGCUUAACACAUGCAAGUCGAAGGGAACGACAUCGAAAGCUUGAACUUUGAUGGUCGUCGACCGGCGCACGGGUGAGUAACGCGUAUCCAACCUGCCCAUCACUUGGGGAUAACCUUGCGAAAGUAAGACUAAUACCCAAUGAUAUCUCUAGAAGACAUCUGAAAGAGAUUAAAGAUUUAUCGGUGAUGGAUGGGGAUGCGUCUGAUUAGCUUGUUGGCGGGGUAACGGCCCACCAAGGCAACGAUCAGUAGGGGUUCUGAGAGGAAGGUCCCCCACAUUGGAACUGAGACACGGUCCAAACUCCUACGGGAGGCAGCA
rnacentral:rRNA from 1 species